rnacentral:misc_RNA from 1 species
UCCGGGUUGGACCCGGCGGUCCCGCCAGACAUGGUAACUGGCAGCGAGGGUUGCGCUCGUUGCGGGACUUAACCCAACACCUCACGGCACGAGCUGACGACAGCCAUGCAGCAUCUGUGCACGCUCCCUUGCGGGUCCUUCCCCUUUCGGGCACACUCUCAUCUCUGAGAGCUUCCUGGCAUGUCAAGGGUAGGUAAGGUUUUUCGCGCUGCAUCGAAUUAAUCCACAUAAUCCACCGCUUGUGCGGGUCCCCGUCAAUUCCUUUGAGUUUUAACCUUGCGGCCGUACUCCCCAGGCGGUCAACUUCACGCGUUAGCUUCGUUACCAAGGAAUUGCUUCCCCGACAACCAGUUGACAUAGUUUAGGGCGUGGACUAC